rnacentral:lncRNA from 1 species
GACCCCUUCUGUAGCCAUUUUUGUACAAAUUUUUCAAACAUCAAUUGUAUCAAAACUACAGAUAUAAUGAAUAAUAGAGACAGGCCAUUUUGUACAUAUACUAGGGGGAAACUUGAUGGAAUGCAUUAUAAUUUACUGUUUCAUUGCCUUUAAAAGAAAAAGAGUACUUUGUGGCAAAUAAACCAAGAUUUUUAUAGAAAAUCCGCAGCCUUUAAUACAGAGAUUUUUGUUAUAAAAUUUGAAACAUAGAUUACUCACUUGCUUUUCUAUGAUGUGCAAGUGUUUAUUUUUUACAAAAAGUUCUAACCAAUCUGUAAAUUCCAAAAUACCUCGUGCUGAGUCACUAAAGUCGAACACACCUUAAAAGGUGUACUUGAUUUGGUCCAUAUUUUUAUUUGUUUUAACCAAUAACUACAUUAAUAAACUUGUUUUAAGGAAAUCGAUGCUAGCACUGCAUGCAAUUAUCAUAUACCUAUCAGUCAUCAAAUUGCCAAAUAUCACAGUACAAGGAUAAAGGCUGUGGAUUUUCUAUAAAAUUUCCAUAUGUUUAGCAUUGAAUCAACAGAAGGUUACAUAAUCCUUAAAGGGGCACUAGCUGUCAAAUUCAUGGUCACCGAUUUGAAUCAAAUUCUCAUAUUUGAUUUAUAACAAUGUAAAACAUUUAUCCAAACUAUCAAAAGUCUAAAAUAAACAGUUUACAGAGCAUAGGGUAGAUAAUAUACAGGUUCAUUUCGUG